rnacentral:rRNA from 1 species
CAGUCGCCGCGGGAAUACGAAGGGUGCAAGCGUUACUCGGAAUUACUGGGCGUAAAGCGUGCGUAGGUGGUGGUUUAAGUCCGUUGUGAAAGCCCUGGGCUCAACCUGGGAAUUGCAGUGGAUACUGGGUCACUAGAGUGUGGUAGAGGAUAGUGGAAUUUCCGGUGUAGCAGUGAAAUGCGUAGAGAUCGGAAGGAACAUCUGUGGCGAAGGCGACUAUCUGGGCCAACACUGACACUGAGGCACGAAAGCGUAGGGAGCAAACAGGAUUAGAUACCCCCGUAGUCCCUGUCUCUUAUAC